rnacentral:rRNA from 1 species
UCCAGACUCCUACGGGAGGCAGCAGUGAGGAAUAUUGGUCAAUGGGCUUACGCCUGAACCAGCCAAGUCGCGUGAGGGAUGACGGCCCUAUGGGUUGUAAACCUCUUUUGCCGGGGAGCAAAGUGCCGCACGUGUGCGGGUUGGAGAGUACCCGGAGAAAAAGCAUCGGCUAACUCCGUGCCAGCAGCCGCGGUAAUACGGAGGAUGCGAGCGUUAUCCGGAUUUAUUGGGUUUAAAGGGUGCGUAGGCGGACGCUUAAGUCAGCGGUAAAAUUGCGGGGCUCAACCUCGUCGAGCCGUGGAAACUGGGUGCCUGGAGUGGGCGAGAAGUACGCGGAAUGCGUGGUGUAGCGGUGAA